GUCGCGAUCAGAACAGCCAAACACAACAAUGUAAAUAAAGUGAAUUUGUACGAAAGUUAUUUUGAUUCGCGAGUGAUUUCGGCCAGAUUUUGUUCUAGUAGGAGCAGGAGCGCAGAUCGCAAUAAGUCAAUAAUGACGUUGUUGAAAAGAGUGGCAUGCGUGUAUUCAUAGCCGCCGUCUCCCGCGCUUCACACGAAAAUUGGCCGUGAUUGUCCGGCAAUGCGCUCGAUAAGUUUUUUGCUCGCGGAACCGAUGCCAAAAGUGAAUCGCGGUGAUGCGAUUGUCCGUCGCGAUUGAUUCCAACGUCACCACCAGCCGAGCGGAUCCGACACCCACUAAUUCCCAAAUCGGAGAAAGUUACCGGAAUACAUCUGCCAUAGCAAACACGCACAAAACGCAGGAACAAGUAGACAGAAAAUGUAGUUCCCUGCGCAUGUAAAUUCACGGCCACAACACGACUCACACUGUCGGAACGGAACGGUUUGGCAAAACGGCCAAGUGGCGCACAUCACUAAGAAUAGUCCGGAGGUUACCUGCAGUAUGUGCAAGUAGGAAAUGAUCGAGGAAGGAAGGAAGGAAUGGUAUCCCUCUACCGAAUACCUGCGCUGGCAGGUUGCAGCCCCUAGGAGCUGAUGACGACAAAUGUUCAUGGACAUCUUCGCGACCUGCAAUGGAGCCAUGGCCUCUUCACAGUAUCAACUAAAAGCUAUCUUGUGCUAUUGUUAUUUAGGCAUCCAUGCGAUGUGACCAUCCUAGUACGUUAUGCCGUGUUUUAUCAGAAUUACAAUAUCUACCUGUUAUUAUGCUUAACAAGAUUGAAAAAAAAAACAAGACGAGGUGUACACAUGAAUAAAUUACUUUUUACUUAAUUUAA